CUCUUUCCUUGUACCCCUCCCAA
rnacentral:misc_RNA from 1 species